rnacentral:rRNA from 1 species
GGCGUCUAAUACCGGAUAUGACAACCGACGGCAUCGUCUGGUUGUGGAAAGAAUUUUGGUCAAGGCUGGACUCGCGGCCUAUCAGCUUGUUGGUGAGGUAAUGGCUCACCAAGGCGACGACGGGUAGCCGGCCUGAGAGGGUGACCGGCCACACUGGGACUGAGACACGGCCCAGACUCCUACGGGAGGCAGCAGUGGGGAAUAUUGCACAAUGGGCGAAAGCCUGAUGCAGCAACGCCGCGUGAGGGACGACGGCCUUCGGGUUGUGAACCUCUUUUAGCAGGGAAGAAGCGAAAGUGACGGUACCUGGAGAAAAAGCACCGGCUAACUACGUGCCAGCAGCCGCGGUAAUACGUAGGGUGCAAGCGUUGUCCGGAAUUAUUGGGCGUAAAGAGCUCGUAAGCGGUUUGUCGCGUCUGCUCUGAAAUCCCGAGGCUCAACCUCGGGUCUGCAGUGGGUACGGGCAGACUAGAGUGCGGUAGGGGAGAUCGGAAUUCCUGGUGGAGCGGUGUAAUGCGCAGAUAUCAGGAGGAACACCGAUGGCGAAGGCAGAUCUCUGGGCCGUAACUGACGCUGAGGAGCGAAAGGGUGGGGAGCAAACAGGCUUAGAUACCCUGGUAGUCCACCCCGUAAACGUUGGGAACUAGAUGUGGGGACCAUUCCACGGUCUCCGUGUCGCAGCUAACGCAUUAAGUUCCCCGCCUGGGGAGUACGGCCGCAAGG